rnacentral:rRNA from 1 species
CCUACGGGUGGCAGCAGUGAGGAAUAUUGGUCAAUGGUCGGGAGACUGAACCAGCCAAGCCGCGUGAGGGAUGAAGGUACAGAGUAUCGUAAACCUCUUUUGUCAGGGAACAAAGGCGGGGACGUGUCCCCGGAUGAGUGUACCUGAAGAAAAAGCAUUGGCUAACUCCGUGCCAGCAGCCGCGGUAAUAAGGAGGAUGCGAGCGUUAUCCGGAUUUAUUGGGUUUAAAGGGUGCGCAGGCGGUCUGUUAAGUCAGCGGUAAAAGCCCGGGGAUCAACCCCGGCCCGCCGUUGAAACUGGCAGUCUCGAGUUGGAGAGAAGUAUGCGGAAUGCGCGGUGUAGCGGUGAAAUGCAUAGAUAUCGCGCAGAACUCCGAUUGCGAAGGCAGCAUGCCGGCUCCACACUGACGCUGAGGCACGAAAGCGUGGGUAUCGAACAGGAUUAGAUACCCCUGUAGUC